GAGCGAUCAUAAGGGAGCAGACUGUAAAUCUGCCGUCAUCGACUUCAAGGUUCGACUCGAGCAAUAGUGAGAGAACGUUGCCGCAGGCAACGGCCCGAAGGGUGAUCCGAAUAAUCCUUCCCGCUAUAGAA
rnacentral:sRNA from 1 species